rnacentral:rRNA from 1 species
UACGAAGGGGGCUAGCGUUGCUCGGAAUCACUGGGCGUAAAGGGUGCGUAGGCGGAUUGUUAAGUCAGGGGUGAAAUCCUGGAGCUCAACUCCAGAACUGCCUUUGAUACUGGUGAUCUUGAGUCCGGGAGAGGUGAGUGGAACUGCGAGUGUAGAGGUGAAAUUCGUAGAUAUUCGCAAAGAACACCCAGUGGCGAAGGCGGCUCACUGGCCCGGUACUGAC